rnacentral:rRNA from 1 species
ACGAACGCUGGCGGCGUGCUUCACACAUGCAAGUCGCACGGAAAGGCCUCUUUCGGGGGGUACUCGAGUGGCGAACGGGUGAGUAACACGUGAGUAACCUGCCCUUGACUUUGGGAUAACUUCAGGAAACUGGGGCUAAUACCGGAUAGGAGCUCCUGCUGCAUGGUGGGGGUUGGAAAGUUUCGGCGGUUGGGGAUGGACUCGCGGCUUAUCAGCUUGUUGGUGGGGUAGUGGCUUACCAAGGCUUUGACGGGUAGCCGGCCUGAGAGGGUGACCGGCCACAUUGGGACUGAGAUACGGCCCAGACUCCUACGGGAGGCAGCAGUGGGGAAUAUUGCACAAUGGGUGGAAGCCUGAUGCAGCAACGCCGUGUGCGGGAUGACGGCCUUCGGGUUGUAAACCGCUUUCGCUCAUGACGAAGCUUUGUGUGACGGUAGUGGGUAAAGAAGCACCGGCUAACUACGUG